GGUAAAGCAGGCGAAGAUGGAAAACCCGGAUCUCCCGGCAAAGUGGGGGAGGAUGGUGUGCCAGGUGAAGAUGGGAGAAAGGGCGACAAAGGAGAAUCAGGAGCAGCUGGAAGAGAUG